rnacentral:rRNA from 1 species
AUUGAACGCUGGCGGCAUGCCUAACACAUGCAAGUCGAACGGCAGCACGGGAGCAAUCCUGGUGGCGAGCGGCGAACGGGUGAGUAACGCAUCGGAACGUGCCCAGUCGUGGGGGAUAGCCCGGCGAAAGCCGGAUUAAUACCGCAUACGACCCAUGGGUGAAAGCGGGGGACCUUUCGGGGCCUCGCGCGAUUGGAGCGGCCGAUGUCAGAUUAGGUAGUUGGUGGGGUAAAGGCCUACCAAGCCGACGAUCUGUAGCUGGUCUGAAAGGACGCACAGCCACACUGGGACUGAGACACGGCCCAGACUCCUACGGGAGGCAGCAGUGGGGAAUUUUGGACAAUGGGCGCAAGCCUGAUCCAGCCAUGCCGCGUGCGGGAAGAAGGCCUUCGGGUUGUAAACCGCUUUUGUCGGGGAAGAAAUACGCCGGGCUAACAUCCUGGCGGGAUGACGGUACCCGAAGAAUAAGCACCGGCUAACUACGUGCCAGCAGCCGCCGUAA